rnacentral:tRNA from 1 species
AAAUAAGAAGCAAUUAAUUGCAAUUAGUUUCGACCUAAUAGUUAGAUAAUAAAUAUCCUUAUUUU